rnacentral:tRNA from 1 species
AGAGAAAUGGCUCAGUGGUUAAGAGCCUUGGCUGUUCUCUCAAAGGACCUGGGUUUGAUUCCCAGCAUCUUCA